UGACGCUCAAGGUGAUUUUCCCUGAUGAAGAUGCAGCACUCUUGUUGUUCUCCUUGGCUAGCUCUUCCUCAUCCCCUCUUCCUCCAGCAGGCAAGGCCACUGCAUUAUCGUACCCGGUUGAGCCACCCCUUCCCUUUGGGUCCAAGAAAGAUGAGCCACGGUAGGAUGGUACAAGGAAGUCUCCUCCAAAGCUAUCAGGUUUGCCUGAUGCAACCAAUUGCUUGAUGGUGAACAGGAAAGGCACACGCUCACCACCAGGAAGCUGAACUGUGACGGCAGCAUAAUCAAUCCCAUCUUUCUCCUCGAAUUUGACGGUGCCAUCGGUGGAUACCUCGAAAGGGCCCUCGAUUUCGUCAAGGGUGUAGGUUAAACGGGUCAUGAGCUUGGUGUUUUGGAACUCAGGAGGGGCAUUCUUGUUAACACCCUCAGCCUUGACAGUGAAGGAAGUGGGCUCCAAGCAGAACUUCUUGGCGUAGUAUUUGCCAGGCUUGAAGGCAAAAGAGUCGACACCACCAUCGAUGGUUGGGCACUGGUUAGCAGUUCCUGUUCCUUUGACUUCCAUGUAUGUCUUGCUUUGGAUUUCAUCGUAGGUUAGCCGCUUUGGAACUCCUUCAGCGCUUGCUCCCUUCAAAACAAACCAGUCAUUGUAACAUAUUUGUUCAGAUCACGGAUCAUAUAUGAUCCUUAUGUAUGCAAUCAACGAUACUUGGUUCAAAUAAAAAAUCCAAAUGAUAAAGUUACAACACCAUGCAAGCUCAUUAAGAAUCCUACCUAAGCUACAUAAAAAUAAAUACAGAAAUUUGAAGCAAGUGAGAGGCGAGAAGUAAAUACCGAGACAACAAGAGCAGAUGUAG
rnacentral:lncRNA from 1 species